rnacentral:tRNA from 1 species
GGGGCUGUAGCUCAGUGGCAGAGCACUUGCCUAGCAAGUGUGAGACACUGGGUUCAAUCCUCAGCAUCA